CGCCGGCGACCGGCGCACGGGUGAGUAACACGUAUGCCGACCUGCCCCCCGACAGGGGGAUAACCGGGAGAAAUCCCGACUAAUACCCGCGUAACGCCGCGGACCUGCAUGGGUCUGCGGCCAAAGGAAGCGAUUCCGGCGGGGAUGGGCAUGCGGCGCAUUAGCUAGUCGGGCGGGGUAACGGCCCACCGAGGCGACGAUGCGUAGGGGUUCUGAGAGGAAGGUCCCCCACACUGGUACUGAGACACGGACCAGACUCCUACGGGAGGCAGCAG
rnacentral:rRNA from 1 species